CAUUCCUCACCCCUACUACCUCAAACCAAACGCCCACAAGUUGCUCUCACAGGUAAUCCGUCGCGGUGUUUCUAUCGUAACAUAGGGCUUGCGGCAGCUGCGCGACCCUCCGACGAUCGCGUAAUGGCAUGGGGGCGACGAAACCGUGGGACUGGAUGUAGCCUCCGCCGGCCUCCAUGUCACCGAGCGCAUCGGCAGGGACGUCGCCGGCCGCCUCGACCUCGAGGAGGCUAUCGAAGCCUCGCUCUAUGCUAGCCUCCCCCUACUCCACCCUCCCCAAAGAGAUAUGCUUGGAAAUGCACAACUUUUCAGAUUAUUCUGUGUGAAGCUUUUUCUAGAGGUGGAGUUGCAGAAGCAUGUUCUGUAGUAAAGAGGGUCGGUUCAAAUAUCUAUACUGGAGUGGAGGGUCGCUUGUCUUUAGAGAUUAUUUAUCUUCAUCUUGAAAUGGCUGCUUCGCAAUGUAUGAAUAUUCUACAAACAAGCCUCAUCAUACGUGCUAGAGCCCUUCUUGCUGCUUGUAAGGUUGAACCAAAGCCUGUAUUAAGCACAUAUGAUCAGCUUUUAUCAUAUGGAGCUAUUUUACCUUUGCCAAAGCUGAAACUUCGCUGUCUGAGAUCUGUUCUUGCUGUACUCUGUGAGUGGGUUGGGUCUGUAUUUGCACAUACAUAAUGGACCACAGCUGUUGGCGCUUCUCCAAUCCUUGGUGGAUUACUCUUGUUACAACAGACAGCAAUCAUCAACCAAGGAGCUCGAGAUAAGAUAACCAGUUUAGCAAAUGGGCAUACGGUCUCGUUACGUGAAGGGUUUAGGUCCAUUACCUAAACUAUCUGUAGUGGGUGGUUCUAGAGCCACAAACAUCAGUUCAAAACAUCAUGAUGAUUAUGAAAAAUUUGCAACUAUGCAGAAAACAAUCGAUGAACAGAAUCUGACUAUACGUGAGCAACAUCAAAAAUUUGAAGCAUUAUUGCACCAACUUCAACAGGUCAUUCCUAGCUUCUCAUUCCAACCUCCACCAACAUGCUCUUCAAUUCGACCUCCUCCACCACCUCCCUCGCCUCCAGCAUCAACUAUGUAGUUUUUUAUUUUGCAAGAUUAUGUAAUGCGCAUUUUACUACUCAUGUUCUUUUGGAUAAUAUUUGACUAAUUGUGUUCAUGUUUUAAAAAUAUUUGACUAAUUAAUAGUAAAUUGCACUUUUAUGA